rnacentral:rRNA from 1 species
GGCUCAGGAUGAACGCUGGCGAGAUGCCUUACACAUGCAAGUCGUACGGGAAUUUUUAAUUCAAGUGGCGGACGGGUGAGUAACACGUAAGAAUUUGCCUUUAGGAGGGGGACAACAACUGGAAACGGUUGCUAAUACCCCAUAUGCUUUCGAGUGAAAUGGAUUUUUCCGCCUAAAGAGGAGCUUGCGGCUGAUUAGCUUGUUGGUGAGGUAAUGGCUCACCAAGGCGACGAUCAGUAUCUGGUUUGAGAGGAUGAUCAGACACACUGGAACUGAGACACGGUCCAGACUCCUACGGGAGGCAGCAGUGGGGAAUUUUCCGCAAUGGGCGAAAGCCUGACGGAGCAAUCUCGCGUGAGGGAUGACGGCCUAUGGGUUGUAAACCUCUUUUUUCAGGGAGGAACAAAAUGACGUGUACCUGAAGAAUAAGCAUCGGCUAACUCCGUGCCAGCAGCCGCGGUAAGACGGAGGAUGCAAGUGUUAUCCGGAAUCACUGGGCGUAAAGCGUCUGUAGGUGGUUUGAUAAGUCAACUGUUAAAUCUUGAAGCUCAACUUCAAAAUCGCAGUCGAAACUAUUAGACUAGAGUAUAGUAGGGGUAAAGGGAAUUUCCAGUGGAGCGGUGAAAUGCGUAGAUAUUGGAAAGAACACCGAUGGCGAAGGCACUUUACUGGGCUAUUACUGACACUCAGAGACGAAAGCUAGGGUAGCAAAUGGGAUUAGAUACCCCAGUAGUCCUAGCCGUAAACAAUGGAUACUAGAUGUUGAACAGAUCGACCUGUGCAGUAUUAAAGCUAACGCGUUAAGUAUCCCG